ensembl:miRNA MIR99A microRNA 99a
CCCAUUGGCAUAAACCCGUAGAUCCGAUCUUGUGGUGAAGUGGACUGCACAAGCUCGCUUCUAUGGGUCUUUGUCAGUGUG